rnacentral:lncRNA from 1 species
CGAGAGUGGAGAAGAGAUUGAUUAUAGCGACGCCGCUCGUUCAAUCGACGAAGAGAGAGGGAGAGGCCGACGUCGGUGGUGACUGGAACGAGAGAGGGCCUAUGAGGGAUGGUGUCGUUCCCUCGUCCGAGCGGAAACGAACAACCAAUCGGGCGACGGCCUUGGAUCGAGGAUGGAUGGAGUGUGAGCAUCAACAAGAGCCGACGGUAGGUAUCGAACGGAGGAAUCGAUCUGACAAAGAUAGAUCGAGGGAGAAGCCUUCUCCCCCAUGCAAAUCGGCUGGCGGUAGAGUCAAAGGCGAGGGGAAGAAGCGGAUUCUAAGUUUCAUGGAAAGCUCGACGGAUUGAAUGGGUCACCGGCGACGACGUCUGUAAUCACAGAAGCAGGGGUUAGGGAAGAGUGAUCACCUAGCGAAUUAUGGAAGAUAAGUGACCAGUUUACAAUACCUGUAAAGUUAGAGGUAAUGGACUGAACUGUACUUCCUGGAAAGUAGGAUGACUGGUUUGUAAUAAUCUGUUUCCUAGGGAUGGAAUCUGCAAGGAUCAGAACUCUGAGGACGGAACUGGACACUGGCCAGCUGGGCGGCAAAAUGACAGAGUUGACCCUGGAAGUUUCAGCAAGUUACAAUGAAGUAACUGGAAUAUAACUUAGUCGUUUGACCUCCAAAUGACGCACCGCCAGAAGCUGUGGUUCGUGGCAGCAAUGGGGAUAAUCUUGGAUGCAUUUAUGAGAUGUCGGCUCGUCAAUUAGGUGGGUGGUUUAAGGGGGUAAAUUUUUUCCAAUGUAGUAGGUUAGGUUUUAAUUAAUUUGAUGCAUUUAAUUUAUGCCAUGAUUUCAUGAUUGAGUGUUUAUUAAUGUCAUGUUAUUCCUUUGAUGUUAUGCAAGUUGUGCCUCCAAUUAAAUGAAAUGGUUAGACUAGUUAUACUGUUAGUAAUAAGAUUACGUUAGACUAAUGAUAAUGUUAGAACGAUUAUGCUAGAAUUAUGACAACAUGAUACUAUGAUUCAUAAUGCACCUAACUUGAUUGACUUUAGCUUCAAUCUUUCCUAAUGAUUCGCUAUUGAUGAUUCCUUGACGAUGAUUCCUUGUUGAUGAUUAAUUACUUAUAUGUUCUUACGAUAUGAUUACAUAAAGAGGACUAUUUCAUGUAAUAUGGUUACUUAGUUAGUACUUAUGAUUCUAUAUGUGUUCUUACCUUAUGUUCAGUUAUGAUGCUCCUAUGUGCCUAUAUGAUUAAGUUAGCUAGAAGAUGAUAUGAUUAGUUAGUGAACAUGAAAGAACUACUCUAAGCCUAGACCAUUAGUAGAUGUCUAGUAGUCAAGUGAUGCAGCAACAUGUACCUCUCUACCUAAACCCCAAAUCUGGAAUGUCGGCGUACGACCUUGGGCCACCAUAGAUCCAAAGCUUAGCUAAUUGUGCCAAUAGAGACCCACUGUUAUCAAUUGGGCCACCAAAGAUCCAAUGUUAACAUAUCAGACCACCAGAGAUUCGUUAUUAGCUAUUGGGCCACCAGAGACCCACAUGAUAGUAUUGGGCCACCAGAGACCCAUAGUGUUAUCUUAAGUCCGACAAAGGGAUGGUAGGUCUAAUUAGAUGAGUUCAAGGGACGCCCUAUAGUUAUGAUAUCUUAGAAGGAUGAUGCUAGUGGAAGUUAGACAACCUUAGUAUUGGUUGCAUAGUAGAAGAAAUGAGUGUUAGCUUUAUAUGAUUAGAUGCAUUUGAAAAACAUGUUUGUGGUGCCUUUAUGUCAGUAUAUUGAUUAUUAAGGUAAGAGCAUGAAAGAUUAACCCCAGAACCACCCACCAGAGUGUUUUGAUGGUUGAUGCAGGAGCAAAGUGGAGCUGAUUCGGGAUAUGGAGUUGUGGAUUUAGUCUUCAGAUACGACUAUUUGUUUUAAAGUGUUUAUAAUGAGACUUGAUUUCAUUUUCAUGUUGAUUUUGUGAUAUAGCAGUUUCCGUUGUUUGUUAAAGUAUUUAAGUUUGUUUUACGUCAUUGUCUUUAUAUAUUCAAAUUCAAUUUCGAAUUCCUUUUCAAAGAGUCACUGCAGGGCAAUUUAAUCAUUUAAUAAAUGCUAGAAGUUUAGGGUGUUACACAUAAGCACUCAAGCUAAAAAAUUUU